rnacentral:rRNA from 1 species
AGUAAUACAGUACGGAACCGUACCUAGAAGUGGGGGAUAACGUAGCGAAAGUUACGCUAAUACCGCAUAUUCUGUGAGCAGGAAAGAGGGGGGAUCGCAAGACCUCUUGCUUUAGGAGCGGCCGAUGUCGGAUUAGCUAGUUGGUGAGGUAAAGGCUCACCAAGGCGACGAUCCGUAGCGGGUCUGAGAGGAUGAUCCGCCACACUGGGACUGAGACACGGCCCAGACUCCUACGGGAGGCAGCAGUGGGGAAUUUUGGACAAUGGGCGCAAGCCUGAUCCAGCCAUGCCGCGUGAGUGAAGAAGGCCUUCGGGUUGUAAAGCUCUUUCGGUGGGGAAGAAAUUGCACAGGAUAAUACCUUGUGUAGAUGACGGUACCCGCAUAAGAAGCACCGGCUAACUACGUG